UUUUUACUUUCUCCGUUCCGAAUUACUCGUCGUAAAAAUGGAUGUAUCUAUAUGUAUUUUAGUUAUAGAUACAUUCAUUUAUGUGACGAGUAAUUUGGAACGGAGGGAGUAUAUU
rnacentral:pre_miRNA from 1 species